rnacentral:rRNA from 1 species
GACGAACGCUGGCGGCGUGCUUAACACAUGCAAGUCGAACGGAAAGGCCCUGCUUUUGUGGGGUGCUCGAGUGGCGAACGGGUGAGUAACACGUGAGUAACCUGCCCUUGACUUUGGGAUAACUUCAGGAAACUGGGGCUAAUACCGGAUAGGAGCUCCUGCUGCAUGGUGGGGGUUGGAAAGUUUCGGCGGUGGGGGAUGGACUAGCGGCUUAUCAGCUUGUUGGUGGGGUAGUGGAUUACCAAGGCUUUGACGGGUAGCCGGCCUGAGAGGGUGACCGGCCACAUUGGGCCUGAGAUACGGCCCAGAAUCCUACGGGAGGCAGCAGUGGGGAAUAUUGCACAAUGGGCGGACGCCUGAUGCAGCAACGCCGCGUGCGGGAUGACGGCCUUCGGGUUGUAAACCGCUUUCGCCUGUGACGAAGCGUGAGUGACGGUAAUGGGUAAAGAAGCACCGGCUAACUACGUG